rnacentral:tRNA from 1 species
UACAUAUUAGUGUAAGAUGCACAUGGAAUUUUGAUUUCCUUAGUUUUAGUUUAAUUCUGAAGUAUGUAA